UACAGAGGGGGCAAGCGUUAUUCGGAAUUAUUGGGCGUAAAGAGCGUGUAGGCGGCCAGGUAGGUCUGCUGUGAAAACUCGAGGCUCAACCUCGAGACGUCGGCGGAAACCAUCUGGCUAGAGUCCGGAAGAGGAGAGUGGAAUUCCUGGUGUAGCGGUGAAAUGCGCAGAUAUCAGGAGGAACACCGGUGGCGAAGGCGGCAUCCUGGACCGGUAUUGACGCUGAGGCGCGAAAGCUAGGGGAGCAAACGGG
rnacentral:rRNA from 1 species